UUUGCUACAAAAAACAGAACUUGCCAACUAUUGACUUCUCUACAAACAUACACAAUUUUCACAUUUCUAAGCAACCCAAUAUAAUUUAUCAAUAGAUUUAAAUGUUGCAGCAAAUCUUCAAGGACAAAACAGCAUGAAACUUUUUAAAGCAUGCGUAACCUUUAUUUUAUGAAUUUAAAAAAUAAAUGACAUUAAAAUAAAAAAAAAGUAAAAAGUUUGUAACCUCAAUAAAAAUAAGAGUCGACUUAAAAAACAUAAAGAUGAAAAUACAAUAAAGUAGUUUAGUUUUAACUAUAUGAGAAAUCAUAAAAUUAGGUAGACAAUAAAAGGAAAAUAUAAAUAAUUAGAUGAAUCUUUUCAUCUUAAAAGCUUUAGAAGAGUUUAUCCUUAGAUCUGUAUGGUCAAGAGAGCUUCAAUCUUAGACUUUAAAUAUAGUCCAUAGAAUCAAGAUCUAGAAGGUUUCGGUCAUCAUCUGUUUUGUCAAGUUUCAUGGUAGACAUCAAAUACAUGGGGCUGAAACAUUAUCCUCCUCUACUGCAAUUGUGAGUAUUCACAAAUUUUCAGCCAAAGAUAUAUGUUAUCCCAUUACUAAUGCCUUGAAAUCUCCUUAAUAGUGUUGACACCAUUUUUUGGAUGAAAAACGGGGUCGACUUGGGUUUUGACGAAAAAAAAAAAACGGGAGUCGCCACCGAUCUUUUUAGAUGAGGUGUGAUCGGGUCACCUCGAAAAGUGGUUGUUUUUAAUAAACGGUUUGAUUUUAUUAAAACAACAAGUUUGGUCCAUGAAAUUCAGAAGAAUGGGUUCGGGAGUCGGUUACGCACAAGGAAGGAUUAGCACCCUCGAUACGCCCAAAAUUGGUACCUAGUUGAUUACUUAAUGUCUUAAUGUCGAAAUUUUAAAUACGAUCCUUUCUUUUUGAAUAAAAUGAAUUGGAAGAUAAAGCUCAUUUAUUUUAAAGAAAUAAAUUGUUACACUGAGUAAGUUAGAGUGCAACAUUUCAAAUCCUCAAAAUUAAGCUUAUUCUUCGUCUUUUAAAACCUAUGCAUUUUAAGGAGGAUAUCCGAUUAUCUGAGUCAAAUGAGAAAAUCAAAACCCAGUAAGUUAGGGUUCGAUUUCACAAAAUUUCUAAAUAUCGAGCAUCGCCUUUAUUUUUAAAAUCCUCGUCUCGAGAAAAUAACAUGUCAUAUCCAAUGCGUUAGGAUACAACGUGUCGAAUUCCCGAGAAUGAGCUUUUUACUUAUGGGUUUUGAUUAAAAAAGGAUACUCGGUUAUCCAAGUUCAUCGAAAAAUUUGAAGCCCAGUAAGUGAGGGCACAAUUCUCGAGAACUAUGAGAACGAGGCUUUUUUGAAAAUUAUGAAAUAGGGUGAUUGUAGUGCUUUGAUAAGACACGAUUUUUACAAAUAUGACAUGAUUGAAAAGUGAUGUAUGACGUAAAAGAUAAUAUAUAGUUCAAAUGCAUAUCAAAGAAUAAUGAACAAAUAAUGAAUUAAUACUAACAAACAUAGCAACAAUAAUCUCUAUUGUACAUUAUGCUAAAAUCCAUAUCUACAUUCAAAAACUAAAAGAAAACGAGUCAAUUAAGGCAAAUACGGACCAAAUGUAUGAGUUUUGAAAUAACUAAAAAUAUAUAAAAAUGAAAUUAUAUUUAUAUUUUAGAUAAAUAAUAUAUAAAUGAAUAUUUGAAAGGAAUUAAAAAUAUGGUUAAAAAUAAAUACUACAUAGAAUAAUAGUGUCCAAAUAGGUUUUAAAGUAAAUAUUAUAUAAGGAAUAAGUCACAACACAUUAAAUAAUAUAUAUAUAUAUAUGUGCACGUAUUCAUAAUGAAGAUUAAACAAUAAUACAUAAUAAUUUUUGAAACGAAUGUAUAAUAACCCAAAGUGUUAAUACUAUUUUAUUUAUUAUAUAAAAUAAUACUACAUUAAAAAUAUGUGAUGAAAUUAACCAUUGAUAUAAUAAUACUCAAAGUAAUAAUAUAAAUAAUAAAAUUAUAAUACGUGUACAUAGAUAAAUAAACAUAUAAAUAAUAAAACUAAUGUUAUCAAUAGUAAAGAUAAUAAACUAAACAAAAUUAGUAACAAUAAUGAAACAGAGGAUCAAAUUGACACCAAAGCUGAAAUUAAAGGAAAAAAUCUAAAAUAAAUAAAAGGGAAGGUCCGAAUUAAAAAGCGCGAAUGACAUGGGGGACUAAAAGGGUAAUAUUUCCCACCCUCCAAAACGCAGCGUUAUGACGAGGACCGAAAUGAAGCGGACAUCAAAUUAAAGGGCGAAAAUUAGAAAUAAAAAAAAUUGAUUUGAACGCGCUACAAAAAGGGGAGGACCAUCUGCGCAAAUAUCCCCAAAAUGGAAAACACGCGGAUCCUCCUGGUAAUGGGUCGGGUCGACGCGCGGAUCCACCCCCACCAAAACGGCGCCGUUUUAUAAUUAAUAUAAAUAUAAAAAAAGGCUAAAAAUAAAACGGUUUCAUCAUUUUGUUGAAGAACAGAGAGAAAACUCUCUCUUUUUUUCAUUUUCUCAGGCUCCGAUUCCGGAGAUGGCCCGGCCAAGGCUUCCGGCGAGUCUCCGCCGUAGAGCCACCGUGUGUGGCGGCCGGAGGUCCAAAAUCGGACCUUUUCGGUCCCCUUUUUAAGCCUAGCGUCCCUAGGGUACGGAUCUAAGGCCAAAUCCCCGAAAAAGAAGCCGGAGACCCGAAGAUCGAGGGGAAACCGCUCGUCUUCUCUCCUCCGGUGCGGCGCAGGUAAAAAAGGUAAAAAGCCUUCUCCUUUAUUAUUUUUCUUUAUGUUUUCAAGUUAAAAAUAAAUAAAUAAACUUGAAAGAAAUAAAAACAGUAAGCAAAAAAAAAGAUAAAACUGAGCAAAAAAAUGUUCAACCUUUUUCUUUCUGUUCUUUUUAUAAAAAUCGAGGCCCAAAAAAAAAACCCCCCUUUUUACAUUGAAAAUGAAUGGCUCUUUAUAGCCGAUUAUACCAAGUCCUAUUGUUGUUUUGUUACUGUUUGCUGCGUUUCUGUUUCUGUUGCUGCUUCCGUCAUGUUUGCAGGUGUUCAAGGAGGUGAUGGGAGCAGGUGGAGGAGAGAUGGCUAUGGGACGGCUGUGAACAGAGGGCAGGUGGGGCGGCCAGGAGCAGGUGCGGCACAACAGGGGGCUAGGGUUUCUGCCCUAGUCUGACUGGGUUUGGGGCCGGUUGGGCUUAUUGGGCCGUUUGGGCUCUGCCAAUUGGGCUGAUUGGGUUAGGCUAGUGGGUUGUCUUGUAAUGGGUUUGGGAAGGGUUCAGAUUGGGCUUGUACAAAUAGGAUACAAUGUUUUUCACUUUUUCCUUCUUUUUUUUUUGUUGAAUAAGGAAGUGCCUAACAUGCCUCAGCUAGAGCUAACAUGGGAUAUCCGACCAACACCAACACCAUCAAUUAACAGCUUCCAACUCCCCGCCAAUGGCGUAUCCAGCAGCUGCAGAGCAAACGAUCGCAUCUUGAAAUGUUUCGCCACAAAAUCCACUACCUUGUUCACUUCCCUGCAGCACAUGUCGGAUCUCUACAGUCCACUGCCGACCAAGCAUCUGUUGCACUGAGUUUCAUAGAUUCCGCAAACAAUUCUCCUCUGGUGUACUGCUCUGUAGCAGGUUAACGGCCUCCAAACUAUCACCCUCUAGCUCCACAGGCCGAUACCCUUGUUGCCAAGUCAAGUGAAGCCCCUCAGCCACGCCUGCAGCUCUGCCUGCAAAAUCGAACAGAGACCAUUAUUCCUCCCAAAUCCUACUCUCCAACUCCCCCACUCAUCCCGAUCAAUGACUUUCACUUUGAUCAUUAAUUAAUGGAGUUUUCCUAUUUUGGGGAGCCAACUACCAUUCUUACCCCACUUCAUGCUUCUUCUAUACUCCAAUUUCUUUUACUUGAAAAUGAAGCACAGUGUAGAAAUGGUGGGGAUACUUUGCAAAUAGAAAUGGUGGCUAAAAUAGUGUUCGGAAAUGUGGUUACAGUUUUAAUCACGAAAUUAAAAGAAUAAAUCUGAAAUAAAACUCAACAUGAUCUAUCAUCCCAAUAAAAUUUUAACUAAAUUAGAUCAAUUUUAAUUUGGACUAACCUAUUAUGUAAUUACUUUUAUUAUAUACGUGAUGUUUAUAUUUUCUAACAUCUUUAAUCUAGGCAAAACUUAAAUUUAUAUAUCACUUAAGCUCAGUUGACAUAGGAGUCACAAUCUAAUCACUUUUAUAUAAAGUAACGCUAUGUCUUCACAUAUAGAAA
rnacentral:lncRNA from 1 species